rnacentral:rRNA from 1 species
AUACGGAGGAUCCGAGCGUUAUCCGGAUUUAUUGGGUUUAAAGGGUGCGCAGGCGGCGAUUAAGUCGGCGGUGAAAAUUUGUAGGUCCACUGGAAGAGGGCCUUUGAGACUGGGUAAUUUGAGGGAAGAUUAAGAAAGAUGAAUUUGUGGUGGCGCGGUGAAAUGCAUAGAUAUUACGAGGAACUCCGAUUGCGCAGGCAGCUUACUAAACUACUACUGACGCUCAGGCACGAAGGCGUGGGGAUCAAACAGGAUUAGAUACCCUGGUAGUCCACGCAGUAAACGAUGAUUACUAGCUGUUUGCGAUACAAUGUAAGCGGCUGAGCGAAAGCGUUAAGUAAUCCACCUGGGGAGUACGUUCGCAAGAAUGAAACUCAAAUGAAUUGGCGGGG